AACGCGAAGAACCUUACCAAGGCUUGACAUCGCCGGAAAACUCGCAGAGAUGCGGGGUCCUUUUGGGCCGGUGACAGGUGGUGCAUGGCUGUCGUCAGCUCGUGUCGUGAGAUGUUGGGUUAAGUCCCGCAACGAGCGCAACCCUCGUUCCAUGUUGCCAGCAACACCUUCGGGUGGUUGGGGACUCAUGGGAGACUGCCGGGGUCAACUCGGAGGAAGGUGGGGAUGACGUCAAGUCAUCAUGCCCCUUAUGUCUUGGGCUGCAAACAUGCUACAAUGGCCGGUACAGAGGGCUGCGAUACCGUAAGGUGGAGCGAAUCCCUAAAAGCCGGUCUCAGUUCGGAUUGGGGUCUGCAACUCGACCCCAUGAAGUCGGAGUCGCUAGUAAUCGCAGAUCAGCAACGCUGCGGUGAAUACGUUCCCGGGCCUUGUA
rnacentral:rRNA from 1 species